rnacentral:rRNA from 1 species
CGAGGGGCAGCGGGGUAGUGCUUGCACUACUGCCGGCGACCGGCGCACGGGUGAGUAACACGUAUGGAACCUGCCCGCAGCAGGGGGAUAAGCGGAAGAAAUUCCGUCUAAUACCGCGUAACAACGUUGGGAGGCAUCUCCCGAUGUUUAAAGAUUUAUCGGCUGCGGAUGGCCAUGCGGCGCAUUAGCUAGUCGGCGGGGUAACGGCCCACCGAGGCGACGAUGCGUAGGGGUUCUGAGAGGAAGGUCCCCCACACUGGUACUGAGACACGGACCAGACUCCUACGGGAGGCAGCAGUGAGGAAUAUUGGUCAAUGGCCGAGAGGCUGAACCAGCCAAGUCGCGUGAGGGAAGACGGCCCUACGGGUUGUAAACCUCUUUUGUCGGGGAGCAAAGCGAACCACGUGUGGUUCAUUGAGAGUACCCGAAGAAAAAGCAUCGGCUAACUCCGUGCCAGCAGCCGCGGUAAUACGGAGGAUGCGAGCGUUAUCCGGAUUUAUUGGGUUUAAAGGGUGCGCAGGCGGAGGUGCAAGUCAGCGGUCAAAUUGCGGGGCUCAACCCCGUACUGCCGUUGAAACUGCAUCCCUUGAGUGCGCGAGAAGUAUGCGGAAUGCGUGGUGUAGCGGUGAAAUGCAUAGAUAUCACGCAGAACUCCGAUUGCGAAGGCAGCAUACCGGCGCGCAACUGACGCUCAUGCACGAAAGCGUGGGUAUCGAACAGGAUUAGAUACCCUGGUAGUCCACGCAGUAAACGAUGAACACUAACUGUUCGGCCAGAAUGAUGGCUGAGUGGUACAGCGAAAGCGUUAAGUGUUCCACCUGGGGAGUACGCCGGCAACGGUGAAACUCAAAGGAAUUGACGGGGGCCCGCACAAGCGGAGGAACAUGUGGUUUAAUUCGAUGAUACGCGAGGAACCUUACCCGGGCUCAAACGACACAGGAAUACUUUUGAAAGGAGGUAGCCCUACGGGGUCUGUGUCGAGGUGCUGCAUGGUUGUCGUCAGCUCGUGCCGUGAGGUGUCGGCUUAAGUGCCAUAACGAGCGCAACCCCUAUCGCCAGUUACCAUCAAGUAAAGUUGGGGACUCUGGCGAGACUGCCGGCGCAAGCUGAGAGGAAGGCGGGGAUGACGUCAAAUCAGCACGGCCCUUACGUCCGGGGCGACACACGUGUUACAAUGGCAGGUACAGAGAGAAGCCAGGUGGCGACACCGCGCGGAACUCGAAAGCCUGUCUCAGUUCGGAUCGGAGUCUGCAACCCGACUCCGUGAAGCUGGAUUCGCUAGUAAUCGCGCA